GCUAAAUAGCCCGUAUUGCUUUGGCAGUACGCUGGCUUCUUAGAGGGACUAUCCGCUCAAGCGGAUGGAAGUUUGAGGCAAUAACAGGUCUGUGAUGCCCUUAGAUGUUGUGGGCCGCACGCGCGUUACACUGACAGAGCCAGCGAGUACUUCCUUGGCCGAAAGGUCCGGGUAAUCUUGUUAAACUCUGUCGUGCUGGGGAUAGAGCAUUGCAAUUAUUGCUCUUCAACGAGGAAUCCCUAGUAAGCGCAAGUCAUCAGCUUGCGUUGAUUACGUCCCCUGCCCCUUUACCACCCCCC
rnacentral:rRNA from 1 species